rnacentral:misc_RNA from 1 species
GUGAAUCAUCAAAUUUUUGAACGCAAAUUGCGCUUCCUGGCAUCCCGGGAAGUAUGCCUGUUUGAGGGUCAGUAUUAAUAAAAAAUGGGUUUAGUUACAAAUUGUGACGUUUCCGGAGUUUGGGAUAUUUUAACAUUUUUGGUUAAGAGGUUUAAAAGUAACCUUUUUUGCGAAUUUUUAAAGUAACAUAAAUUUUUUUAUUGUUUUAUUCUAAAUG